AGAGUUUGAUCCUGGCUCAGGACGAACGCUGACGGUGUGCUUUAGGCAUGCAAGUCGAACGAGAAAGCCCUUCGGGGUGAGUAAAGUGGCGAACGGGUGAGUAACACGUGGGCAACCUGUCCCUCGCAGGGGGACAACCGGAGGAAACUCCGGCUAAUACCCCGUACGCUUGUUGGAUCGCAUGGUCCGGCAAGGAAAGGUAGCUUCGGCCAUCCGGCGAGGGAUGGGCCCGCGUUGCAUUAGCUAGUUGGUGGGGUAACGGCCUACCAAGGCGACGAUGCGUAGCUGGUCUGAGAGGAUGAUCAGCCACACUGGGACUGAGACACGGCCCAGACUCCUACGGGAGGCAGCAGCCAGGAAUCUUGGGCAAUGGGCGAAAGCCUGACCCAGCAACACCGUGUGGGCGAUGAAGGCCUUAGGGUCGUAAAGCCCUGUUGAUAGGGACGAAGGGCGAAGGGUUAAUAGCCCCUAGCUUGACGGUACCUUUCGAGGAAGCCCCGGCUGACUACGUGCCAGCAGCCGCGGUAAUACGUAGGGGGCGAGCGUUGUCCGGAAUUAUUGGGCGUAAAGAGCGUGUAGGCGGUUCGGUAAGUCUGCUGUGAAAUCCUGGGGCUCAACCCUGGGCGUGCAGCGGAUACUGCCGGGCUAGAGGGUGGUAGAGGCGAGUGGAAUUCCGAGUGUAGCGGUGAAAUGCGCAGAUAUUCGGAGGAACACCAGUAGCGAAGGCGGCUCGCUGGGCCACACCUGACGCUGAGACGCGAAAGCGUGGGGAGCGAACAGGAUUAGAUACCCUAGUAGUCC
rnacentral:rRNA from 1 species